rnacentral:rRNA from 1 species
AACGAACGCUGGCGGCAGGCUUAACACAUGCAAGUCGAACGGGUGUAGCAAUACAUCAGUGGCAGACGGGUGAGUAACACGUGGGAACCUUCCUAGGGGUACGGAACAACUCAGGGAAACUUGAGCUAAUACCGUAUACGUCCGUGAGGAGAAAGAUUUAUCGCCCUUAGACGGGCCCGCGUCGGAUUAGCUAGUUGGUGGGGUAACGGCCUACCAAGGCGACGAUCCGUAGCUGAUCUUAGAGGAUGAUCAGCCACACUGGGACUGAGACACGGCCCAGACUCCUACGGGAGGCAGCAGUGGGGAAUCUUGGACAAUGGGCGCAAGCCUGAUCCAGCCAUGCCGCGUGGGUGAAGAAGGUCUUCGGAUUGUAAAGCUCUUUUGCCAGGGACGAUAAUGACGGUACCUGGAGAAUAAGCCCCGGCAAACUUCGUGCCAGCCGCCGCUGUAACAC